GAGUUUGAUCCUGGCUCAGGACGAACGCUGGCGGCGCGCUUAACACAUGCAAGUCGAGCGAGAACCUGGCCUUCGGGCCUGGGAAAGCGGCGAACGGGUGAGUAACACGUGGGUAACCCACCCUUGGUACCGGGAUAGCCCGGGGAAACCCGGAUUAAUACCGGAUGGCCCAACAGCUCUUCGGGGCGGUUGGAAAAGGUAGCUUCGGCCUCCGACCAAGGACGGGCCCGCGGCGGAUUAGCUUGUUGGUGAGGUAACGGCCCACCAAGGCGACGAUCCGUAGCUGGUCUGAGAGGACGAUCAGCCACACUGGGACUGAGACACGGCCCAGACUCCUACGGGAGGCAGUAGUGGGGAAUCUUGCGCAAUGGGCGAAAGCCUGACGCAGCGACGCCGCGUGGGGAGAAGGCUUUCGGGUUGUAACCCCUUCAGGAAGGACGAAGCUACUCGGGUUAAUAGCCCAGAGGGUGACGGUACUUCCAGAAGAAGCCCCGGCUAACUACGUGCCAGCCGCCGCCGUAAG
rnacentral:rRNA from 1 species